CUCGUAGGCGGUUCGUCGCGUCCGGUGUGAAAGUCCAUCGCUUAACGGUGGAUCCGCGCCGGGUACGGGUGGGCUGGAGUGCGGUAGGGGAGACUGGAAUUCCCGGUGUAACGGUGGAAUGUGUAGAUAUCGGGAAGAACACCAAUGGCGAAGGCAGGUCUCUGGGCCGUUACUGACGCUGAGGAGCGAAAGCGUGGGGAGCGAACA
rnacentral:rRNA from 1 species